rnacentral:rRNA from 1 species
UACAGAGGUCUCAAGCGUUGUUCGGAUUCAUUGGGCGUAAAGGGUGCGUAGGCGGCGCGGUAAGUCGGGUGUGAAAUCUUGGAGCUUAACUCCGAAACUGCAUUCGAUGCUGCCGUGCUUGAGGACUGGAGAGAAGACUGGAAUUUACGGUGUAGCGGUGAAAUGCGUAGAUAUCGUAAGGAAGACCAGUGGCGAAGGCGGGUCUCUGGACAGUUCCUGACGCUGAGGCACGAAGGCCAGGGGAGCAAACGGG